AAAACUUUCAGCAAUGGAUGUCUUG
rnacentral:rRNA from 4 species